rnacentral:misc_RNA from 1 species
GUGAAUCAUCAAAUCUUUGAACGCAAAUUGCACUCUCCGGUUUUCCGGGAGAGUAUGCCUGUUUGAGGGUUAGCCUAAAAAAAAUCGACAUUGUUGCUGUUAUUUAAUGGUGACUUUCGUCGGAGAUUGGGUUAUCUUAUACCUUUUUUUUUUUUGUUUUAAGCUAGUUAAAUUUUUUUUUCACGAUUCCAUUUAUGUUUCCAAGUUU